GAAGCUGCCAGCAAGUUAGGUGUAGCAAGGCUCUGAACCCUUCCAGCAAGGAAGGCUGCACUCUGUCCCCAGAAGGGGAGAAACCCAGCACAAGGAACUGACUGAGGGAGGGAUCAGACAGACCCCGUGUGACCUGGAAGGAUUUUGCUUUGCCCAAGCCUGGUUCUCCAAGGCUAAAAAGGACUGAGCCUGCUGAGGAGAAGCAGUACCUGAUCUUUGGUGCAUCAUCCUUUCCUGAAUCCAGCCUGAAUGAAAGGCAUCUGAGGACUGACUACUCAUUAAUCUGGAUCAGAAUUACUCUCUGUAUCAUCUUACAGCGCUUCAAUGGCGGCAGUGAAGCCCAAGACCUCUACUCUGUAGGUAAUUGAAACCCUUGGAGGAGGAACACUGGAGAGUCCCUCAAUGGAUGUCAGGACAGAAGAAGUGGACCAGGGACCCUCUGAAUGGUGACGUUCUCCAGGUGCAGGACAGAUGUGGUCUUCAGGGAAAGCCCCAGUAGUGGAUUAAUCACUGAACCAACAGGGCCCGUGCCCUGGGGCCCUGGCCAACUGCCCCCUCCCGAUUCUGCUGCAUGGUGGGUGGGUGAGGCAGGGGAAGCUCCCAUACCCCCCAACUCCAUUCCCACUGAAGCUAUGGGAUGGGGGAAGCCCCCCAGAAGAACCCCCAACUCCAUCCUUGGCAGAAGCCCCCAGGUGGGGAAAGCCCUCCAGCAGCCCUCGUACCUGGCAGAGGAAGCUCCCAGGGCCCCAACACCAGCAGAAGCCUCAGGGCAGCAGGGGAAGCCCCCGUGCCCAACUCUGCUCUCUGGCAAAAGUUCUGGGAAGGCGGGAGAAGCCCCGGCACCUUGACCCUGGUCCCCGGCAGAACCGUGGGGGUGCCAGGGGAAGCCCCAGCUUCGGCCCUGGGACUGGAGGAGCUCUCACACCCCGCUGCAGCCUGAGGGCCCUGGUGCACGGACAGAGCUUCUCCAGUUUUGGGGCUACAGUGUGGGGAGCAUAAAGGAGCAAAUGAGUUGUGGGAUGGGUGGAAUGGGAGGGACCCUGGGUGGAACAGGGUGUAGUCCCAGGGGAAGGGGCAGAAAGAGGUUGAGUUGUGAGGCAGCCACAGGUGGAAGGGGGCAGAACAGGGAUGGGACCUCAGGUGGAAGGGUUGGGGAAGAGGCCCCCACUUGCUCUGGCCCAUAGCCUUGGGAAACCUUAAUCUACCUCUGCAAACCCCCUGAACACUGGUGAAGCACUUCCUCCAGAUAAGGAAGCGACCAAGAAGGAGAAAGGAGGAAAUGUUUCAAGAGGUGCUCCAAUCCUCAGAGGCCAAAAAACAAGAAUGCAGGGCCUGGAAGGAGACUUUUAAAUAAAAUUAUAAAAUAGACAGGCAGGACAGAAAAAAGAGCCAAAGUGAAUUUUAAUGGGCCAGGAGUAGAAGAUAAAAGUUAUAGAGGAGCAAACGGAGAUGUUAAAGUCCCUAAUCACUGCUGCAGGGUGAAUUCAUGCAUGCUCCUUCCUCCCCUGCAGCGGAAACAAAACUGCUUUCCAUGCCCUCCCCAAACAUUCCUUGCAACUUCCUGGCCCAUCUUGGUACCCUGUUCACCCCACCUCUUCGAACAGCUUCCAGAAUGAUAGCUGGACUUACACACAGCUAUAACAGUCUACACUACCUUUCAUUGUUAUCUCCCUUCCCACCAAGCCUUUUGUGUGUGGUGUUAAAUGGUAUUUAAUAAAAACGUUCUCUCUGGAAGAUAACCAAUCUUUAUUAGUCUCCUACACACGGUGGUUACUGGAAUUAAUACACAGUGGUAAUUUGAUCAUUUCCUGAGUACAAAUCACAGUCAGGAAUCAUCAAAAUUUUAAUGCAAGGCACCAAGUUAACAAAGUAUAGUAGAGUGCAGCAUAUUAAGACACAUUACGGGAGCUCAUUGUCAAAAUAGCUCCUCAAAG